CGGGACGGGUGAGUAAUGUCUGGGAAACGUGCCUGAUGGAGGGGGAUAACACUGGAAACGGUAGCUAAUACCGCAUAACGUCGCAAGACCAAAGAGGGGGACCUUCGGGCCUCUUGCCAUCGGAUGUGCCCAGAUGGGAUUAGCUAGUAGGUGGGGUAACGGCUCACCUAGGCGACGAUCCCUAGCUGGUCUGAGAGGAUGACCAGCCACACUGGAACUGAGACACGGUCCAG
rnacentral:rRNA from 1 species